CAGCACACAAAAAAGUUUCAAGUAUGGAAAAGUAUACUUGUGAGUAAACCAAUUUAAUUACCUUCCUCCUGACGAUAAGAGGGGCAUCAUCAUCAUCAUCAUCAACAUCAUCCUCCAGAAUGGGAGAUGCUGAGGCUGGCCAUUUGCGGCUUGGAGCACUCUUGGCUAUAGUAGGCUUAGCAGGGAAAGAAGAAGAUGGAUGAGCAGACUGUUUAGUGCGACGAGAAGGAGAAGGACUCCGAACGGACAAAGGGGUGACCAAAACAGGAGGAGGAGAAGAAAUGCUCGGUUGGUCUAAUAAAUGAAAGGCACGAUUGGCGUCAGUUGCAAAUAAUCUGCGCUUCACCGACGGCCAAAGUUGUUCAAAAAGAGGGUAAAUGGCGUGGCUAGGAUUGAAAGGGGCUAAUGAAAAAUGGCUGAUUAACAGAAGAUUAUGAGCAUCUAUAGCCUCUGCCUCCGCCUUAUUAAUGGUAUAAAAACGGUCAACUAAGUUCCUUGAAUAGCAAGGAGGAACAGGCCAAGUUUGGCCGAAACCAAGCUGACGAGCAAAAAAUUGGGGAGCAUAAAUCUCUACCCCUGCCUUGGCAUUGGUCCCAGUUAGAAUAUCAUGAAAUAGCUCCCUCCCGGUUAAAAACUGCAUCCAAAUGAGCAGGGAGGUGCUCGCGCUAUCUAUAGUGGAAGGGGGAUGUACAUAAUUUGGAGUCAAAAAAGGAGGAAAAGGAAAAAAAGGAAGGGAUUGAAUCCAAGGAAUAAAAGAAUGAAAAAAUGUCCCUUCUGGACAUAUUUACAGGAGCUAAGGGCUCCAUGGCUAGCCCAUAAUAGCUAGCAGAAGAGCGAGAGAUUGAUGGAGCACCAAGCAAUGGAAAAUAGGAUCUCAACCACAGUUGAGUGAACCAAAGAGGUCCACUGCCAGUGGGAGAUGCACAAUUCUUCAAUUGAGCUUGAAGAGAGGCCAUGCCUCUAUAAAGGGCAGCCAAAAAGAAAGAACAUAAAUUCAAAGGCCUGCCAUGCGCCAAUUCGUACGCUAUAGGUAAAUAACUCAGGGAGGGCUUUAUGCUUGGCACACACAAAACAUAUUUACAAAGCCAAACUAAAAGGAAAGCCACUUGCUCUGUAUGGGAGGGCUUAGCGCUCGAAUGAUUGUGAAGGGUUUGCAGGCUGGAAUAAGAAUCGGUGUAGUUUUUACCAAACUUUAGGGCGCCACCAGAA
rnacentral:lncRNA from 1 species